rnacentral:rRNA from 1 species
AAUAGAUACCCAGGUAGUCCACGCCGUAAACGAUGGAUACUAGCUGUUCGGAGCAAUCUGAGUGGCUAAGCGAAAGUGAUAAGUAUCCCACCUGGGGAGUACGUUCGCAAGAAUGAAACUCAAAGGAAUUGACGGGGGGCCCGCACAAGCGGUGGAGCAUGUGGUUUAAUUCGAUGAUACGCGAGGAACCUUACCAAGGCUUAAAUGUAGAUUGACCGGUUUGGAAACAGAUCUUUCGCAAGACAAUUUACAAGGUGCUGCAUGGUUGUCGUCAGCUCGUGCCGUGAGGUGUCAGGUUAAGUCCUAUAACGAGCGCAACCCCUGUCGUUAGUUGCCAGCGAGUGAUGUCGGGAACUCUAACGAGACUGCCAGUGUAAACUGUGAGGAAGGUGGGGAUGACGUCAAAUCAUCACGGCCCUUACGCCUUGGGCUACACACGUGCUACAAUGGCCGGUACAGAGAGCAGCCACUGGGCGACCAGGAGCGAAUCUAUAAAACCGGUCACAGUUCGGAUCGGAGU